rnacentral:rRNA from 1 species
AUUGAACGCUGGCGGCAUGCCUUACACAUGCAAGUCGAGCGGCAGCGCGGGGGCAACCCUGGCGGCGAGCGGCGAACGGGUGAGUAAUACAUCGGAACGUGUCCAGUAGCGGGGGAUAACCUGUCGAAAGAUAGGCUAAUACCGCAUACGACCUACGGGUGAAAGCGGGGGACCGCAAGGCCUCGCACUAUUGGAGCGGCCGAUGCCGGAUUAGCUAGUUGGCGGGGUAAUGGCCCACCAAGGCGACGAUCCGUAGCUGGUCUGAGAGGACGAUCAGCCACACUGGAACUGAGACACGGUCCAGACUCCUACGGGAGGCAGCAGUGGGGAAUUUUGGACAAUGGGCGCAAGCCUGAUCCAGCCAUGCCGCGUGAGUGAAGAAGGCCUUCGGGUUGUAAAGCUCUUUCGGCGGGGACGAAACGGUCCGUGACAACACCACGGACUAAUGACGGUACUCGCAGAAGAAGCACCGGCUAACUACGUGC